GCAAGUCGAACGGUAACAGGCUCUUCGGAGUGCUGACGAGUGGCGGACGGGUGAGUAACGCGUGGGAAUCUACCCAGUAGCGGGGGAUAGCCCGAAGAAAUUCGGAUUAAUACCGCAUACGCCCUACGGGGGAAAGGCUUCGGCCACUAUUGGAUGAGCCCGCGUUAGAUUAGCUAGAUGGUGAGGUAAAGGCUCACCAUGGCGACGAUCUAUAGCUGGUCUGAGAGGAUAAUC
rnacentral:rRNA from 1 species